rnacentral:piRNA from 1 species
UAAAUACUAAUAAUCCAACAA